CUUUAAUCCCACACGCCAAUUACUUAAAAAGCCUUUGCUUCCUUUCCAGCUAAGGCAUUUCAAAAACAAAAGCGGCCAUUAUUUAUUAACCCUUGAGUUACUCCUCUUGAUAUGUUGAGAAAAGAAGAGAAGCACCAUUAGUCCUUUGUUGAUGAAGUGGGAGAAAGUGGUGAGGUGGGUGGGGGCAAGCGUGGCUGCGGCCUUCUUCUCGUCUCUGGAGAAAUGGUCGUGUAUUAACAUAUCAACUCUAGACUCGGAUGUGGAUGAGGAGGCAGACGAUCGUCCCCUUAUGCUUACCAGAUUCCCCUCUGAAGCCUCCUCCCACCACCGCUUUUCCAUCGAUAAGCUUCAUUACCCUAUAACUAUUUCUAUGCCUCUGUGAUGCAUCUAUCUAAUUAUACAUGUCUGGAAAAGUGGCUUCUCUAAGAAUCCGACCAAUGAUAUGAUCUUGUAGAGAAAACUUAUCAUAUAUAUUACCGGCGAUUGAUUUUACAACUUUUCUUUUUGCCUAUCGGUUUAUGUGUGGAAAAAAGUUAGAAAACAAUAGUCUUCCAUCUUACAUGUGCAAUUUGGUUAAUUUGGCAAUGCUAGCCUUAGUUUGGAUUUUCUAUCUCCUUUCGUUAUUUGUUUUAACAAUCAUAUAAUAUGCCAUGAAAAAUAUUAGGACGAAUGUUGUGAUUUGAGAUCGGAUUCAGUUCUUUGAAUCAUCGAAAUUUAAUUGAAUAAAGUGGAACUAGUUUCUUUUUAUCCUUAAGCUUCACACUCAUGGAAAAUAAUUGUUUAUGGAGGACCCUCUUCUAUGAAAAAGCGAACCUCUCGUAGGCUCGUAGCACGUCUAAAAAGAUUUCUUAUCCAUAUUCAAUUUCUUUUAGAGAAAUAACCCAUAUUUAAUCUUUUUUGAGUUGGAACACAUUUAAUCUUAAAUCAAUAGUGCUAUAGUAGGAGUAUAAAAUUAUUGAGGAUAUGAUAUCUACUACUAACCGCUUUUAGUUAUGAUAUAGAUGUAUGAAGGCAUUUACCUUUUCCCUUAAAGAUGCUCUUAUCCAAAAUUAUAAGGAAGAUUUAUGCAAUAAUAAGUAAAACAUACCCGGAUAUCAUUCAAUACUAACAAACUUUUGAAACUUUUGAAAAUUGUUGCACUAAUAUAUAAUAUCAGCUGACUGAAUCUAAAUACUAGCCUACUGCCUACAUAGAUGACUAUACAUGUUUCAUACGUUGAGUCGUCCCGCGUCAAAUGUGAAAAUCAUCAACUGAAAUUCCCAUUAUAUUAUUACUUCUCAUACUACCAUCAUUCAGCAAAAUGUUAUCAAUUGUUGUAUUAAAGAAAUGAUUAAGUGGACUUGUGAAUGAGGUAAGUGUUUCAUAUUUGAGGCGUAAAAUUCUAAGUACAGAAAAACACAAGCAGUAGAUCGCCCUAAAUAUACUUAUAAAUGCAAGAGAACUAAAAUUAAAAUAGAUAAACUUUAUUGAUUUCCAAUCUAUGUGUUGUUUCUAAUUUCGAGUUAAAGGAGAUAUCAGAAAAUAAGCAAACACUGUGUUACUAAUUUACUAUUAAGGAUGCAUCACAAAAUAACACAAAUUAAUACGAAACAAUAGAAAUGAAUUAAUAUGCAUAAAAUCAAUCAAGAAAUUAAUGUGUCGAAAAUAUGGUUUGUUCCAACCCACUACAUGCGAGGAUUAUUCCAAAGAGUUAUCUACACAUAACUAAAAUAAAAACCCUAAACUCUAUAUAAAAUAAGGAAUUAUUUUUACAAAAAGCCCUCUCAAUUGCAAUUAUAAUUAGCAAAGCCAGAAUAAAAACUCAAUUUUCGAAGAAGAAAAAGUGGCUCAUGGAUUAGAGCAAAAACUGUCAAAAUUGGCUCAUAAACACGAGCGAAAAUUAUUUUAACAUAGCUCCUGGACAUGAGCAAAUUAGUUGCCUGACCUAGGUUCUUGAUGAGAAUUUAUGAAUGUUGUGUAGGGGCCUGGUUUAUGAACUGAUAUGUAGAUGGAUUAAUCAUGGGGCUUAUCUGUUGUAAUUAUUGUCAAGAAGGACCCCUCCCAACCAACUCAUUACUCUCACUCCCUGAGCACAUGUUAAUGCUCAGAACAUGCUAAAUGCAUCUAUUAUAAAUGGAAAGUUUGUACAACAACAAAUAUCAGAGUAAUAUCAGAGUAAAAACAGGCACUACUAUCAAAGUGAACAAUAGUUGUUUGGUUCAAAAUAAGGCAAGAUUUAAUAAACUCCAGAACAAGCCAUUGCAUUUUAAUGUUUAUGUUUAACAUAUGUCAAUCAGCUGUAUAUCAACUGCCUGAAGAAUUAUUCUCAAACCAUGGUUAUCAUCAAACAAUAAGUUUAAGAGGAAACUAAUUAAUAAUAUGUAAACAUAACAAACGGAAAUUCAAGAGGGCAAAAGAUUGAACCUAUUCCCAAAUUAAUUCUACAUGAUAUACAUUUGUACUGAAAAAUACCUUGGUGUAAGGAGAAUUAUUCUCUGUACAAUGCAUAGAAAAGGACGAUGAAAUUAAGAUAGUUUCCAUUCCAACCACCCCUUUAUUAGCAGGGUAAAAAGUGUGACAAUAAGAUAGAAUUGGUGAGAGUGAAGGAAAGCAUAAGUAGGGGGAGUUAGUGUGGUUGUGGUAUAGCAUUACGAGUGUUUUCAAUGAAAAACAUCCUGCUCAAAUGAGUGUUUCACAAUCACAAAUCAGAGAUGGAUUUGUGGAGUGUGAGACACUCAUUUGAGCGUGAUGUUUUGCAAGGAAGACAGAGCUUCUAGUAAUAAUAAUUGAGGAUUGGAUUUGGUGGUGUUAAGGUAACAGGAUCCAAAACUGGUGGAGAGAAUUAGAAACACAAUCAAGACUGCAGCAGCAAAGCAAUCACAACACAAAGACCAAGUGAAGGAGCAGACAUACAAUGUAGAUCUGGGCAAAUUAACUAUAGAGUCCUGCUGGCUGGAUUCCUCCUAAACUCCUAGCAAAGGAGCUUUGUUGCAAGAUCCCGGCAAAUUUCUCGAUCUAGGCAGACGUGUAUAUAAAAUCAUGUCUCCAAAUGGGACACUUUUUUA